rnacentral:rRNA from 1 species
CUGCAGCCCGAGUGGUGAUCGAUUUUAUUGAGCCUAAAGCGUCCGUAGCCGGACUAGUAAACCCUUGGGUAAAUUGGGCAGCUUAACUGUCCAAAUUCCGAGGGGACUGCUAGUCUUGGGACCGGGAGGGGUCAGAGGUACUCAAGGGGUAGGGGCUAAAUCCUGUAAUCCUUUGGGGACCACCAGUGGCGAAGGCGUCUGACUAGAACGGAUCCGACGGUAAGGGACGAAACCCUGGGGCGCGAACCGGAUUAGAUACCCGAGUAGUCC